rnacentral:misc_RNA from 1 species
GAUGAAGAACGUAGUGAAAUGCGAUAAGUAAUGUGAAUUGCAGAAUUCAAUGAAUCAUCGAAUCUUUGAACGCACAUUGCGCCCGCUAGUAUUCUGGCGGGCAUGCCUGUUCGAGCGUCAUUUCAACCAUCAAGCCCCAGGCUUGUGUUGGGGGCCUGCGGCUGCCGCAGCCCCUGAAAAGCAGUGGCGGGCUCGCUGUCAUUCCGAGCGCAGUAGUUACAUCUCGCUCCGGGCGUGGCGGUGGGCACCUGCCGUGAAACACUCCUUCUAAGGUUGACCUCGGAUCAGGUAGGAAUACCCGCUGAACUUAAGCAUAUCAAUAAGCGGAGGA